CUUCCCAUUUCUCCACCUCACGGCCCCAAGAACCUCAGCAUCUAUCACGGCCCCCAGCUCACCUCACGGCCCCUAGCCCCUUCCUAUUUCGUGGCCCCAAGCUCACCGUCAUGGCCCCGAGAUCCUCUCCAUCUCUCACUUUAACUUUGCGGCCCGAGCCCCUUCCUAUUUCGUGGGUAGAAGUUUUACCCCUCUCUAUGUUCGAAGGAACGUCUGCCCGAGCUCUCUCCAUCUCUCUACGAAAGAAGAUUGGGCUCUCAAAAUCUGUGUCCCAUCCUCAUUUUACCUCAAAUCAGCCCAAUCUAAGGAUAGAAAGAUACUUCAUAUUGAUGAAUCAACUCAAGCCUUAGCAAAAUGGAAGCUCGAUCAACGACAGGUACCUCUAAUUCAUAAGAUCGGGUUUAGCCAAUUGAUGGAUAUUGGGGUCUCACGUAUGGAUUGCAAGGAAACGAAUAUUGCAAAUUUAAGCAUUGGUGAAAUGGGUUCAAUAUUAUAUGAUGCAUGGCAGAUAUUAAGGAUACUUGUGACAGGUGAGCCUAUAACCGGCAUCAGGUCUGAAACCUAUAUUUCUUUUAUCAAGGAGUACCUAGGAGAUUUCUCUAAAGAUGCCACCCCGAUGGGUCUAAAUCAUACAUUGUUGAGGAGUAGAUUUGGCCAACUCCCAAAAAAACCCACCAAAUUACAACUCACGUAGCACACAAGAGCAUAUCUCCUCUAUCUAGUUGGGAAAACAAAUUUUGCCAACUCAUCUAAAGGAUCGACACUUUCAAUAUAUCUGUAAUUGUUUUGAGAUUUUGAUGAGGCAGGAAAGUAUGCAUGGGGUGCUGUGACUCUUGCUUUCUUAUAUCGUUCAUUGUCCAAGGUCGCAGGUGGGGAAAAUAAUCAUUUUAGUAGGUCAGCGACGUUACUACAAGUAUUUCUCACUAUUUCUAUUAUAUAUAUUUACAAUCUUACAAUUUAUGUGGCUUCUUACUUUUAUUUCCUUUUCUACAUUGUUGGAUCUAUGAGCAUUUUCGAGCUCUAGCUACCAAGCCUACAUUGGUCAUCAACCCAGAGAUGCCUAGGGGUUGCAUGUGGAAGAAACAAGCACGACACAAGAACAUCUCAUUUGACCAUAUCUCGUUCAAUAUGGUGACCUUGCAACCGUAUGGGGAGUCACAGGAAAUUGCUAAGUACUUCAUGUGUCUAUCAUACCUCAUUAGUUUCAAUGUUGUGGAGUAUUACAUGCCCAAUAGCGUGUUGCGACAAUUUGGGAAGAUGCAAGGUAUUCCUAUUAUGCCACCCAAGUGGGAUAGGAGGGAGAAAAUCAGUGUACACUCACAAACUGGACUAUCGAAUUGGGUAGGCAGAUAAAAGAUUGGAAACAACAAGAAUGUAACAUUGUUAAAGCACCUUUAGAUAAAUCUGGUGGAGUACCUACUGAAGACUGCAUGGCCUGGUACAACAUGUUACGCAGGGAAAAACACCAUUUCGCCCCCCAUCGCAAUCGCAAUCGCAAUCCCAUGUACAGUCUUUCGCAAGCCAAUUGAUUGAGACAUACAUGUAUAGAGUUGUUACAAGCUGCACUUAGUGGUGAACUACUAACCGGGGAAUCUAGACAUUACAUACAGGUGGCUCAUGAUCUGCUACUAAAUAGCACUUAUGUGGAGAGAGGUGUCGAGGAGGGUGAUGAAAGUGAAAGAGAAGAAGACGAUGACAAUGGAGAAGAGGAUGAUGUCGGAGAAGAUGAUGAUGAUGGAGGAGAUGAUGGAGAAGAGGAUGAUGAUGAUGGAGGAGAUGAUGGUGAUAGUGAGCAUGAAGAUGAGAGAAGAACAAAGCAAACAGCUAAUCAAUUUCAAGCACCGGCAUUGCAAGAGGAAUUGAGAUGGAAUUUGCGGUAGAGGAAUUGAUUUUUUUUUAUUUUGG